rnacentral:rRNA from 1 species
CCACCUACGGGGCGCAGCAGUGGGGAAUAUUGCACAAUGGGGGAAACCCUGAUGCAGCAACGCCGCGUGAAGGAAGACGGUUUUCGGAUUGUAAACUUCUGUUCUUAGUGAAGAAGAAUGACGGUAGCUAAGGAGCAAGCCACGGCUAACUACGUGCCAGCAGCCGCGGUAAUACGUCGGGGGCAAGCGUUGUCCGGUAUUACUGGGUGUAAAGGGAGCGCAGGCGGGAAGCCAAGUCAGCUGUGAACACUACGGGCUUAACUUGUAGACUGCAGGUGAAACUUGUU